rnacentral:lncRNA from 1 species
GGCCAAGUAAUUGUUUACUUGUGCUCUGAGAGCAGGCAUUGAUAUCUCUCCAAGGAAAGAAGGUAGAGGAUCAAAUAAUAACCUUCCACUAUAGUUAUUCUAAGAGAGAAUGAAAUGAACCUUAAAAACAUGGAAAGUCUUUUAUGGGAAAAAAGAAGAAAGGAUAAAAAAGUAGAGAAUUCUGACCUUUUUCAAAAGUUGGCACAAGAAAGAAUGAGCUGAAGAGAAGAAUAAAUACAUUAUGAAGCAUUUAUUGUCAGAUCCUAGGGCACAAAUACAAAAGUUUUGAGGAACUUAUAUUCUGAAAGAAAACACAGAGACAGAAUGUCCAAAGAAAAGAUGUUUUGAUCUGAGAAGUGACAUGUUGAGUAGAAUCACAAAGUGAUUAAUAGAUAUGUUUUAUUCCAGGAAUGGUACUCUUGAUUCGAUGACUGUUAACAGAGGAAAAGAGGAAGGAAGAUGUUGCAACAUGACAGGAAAUUGAAUAGAAUAUACAUCAUGGUGCGAACGAGGCUGCCGAAGUAUGGUGAACUCUUGCUGAUCAAGAGUAUCAAUGCAUUAUGGUGUGGAAGCUGCUGGAUUCCUGCGGUGUUUCAUUCAUGACAACGGUGAUGGCUAUUUGAUGGUCCAGAGCUCCAUGACUACCCUUCUCAGUGAUGCUGGAAAAAAAACCAUAGUAGAUCAAAUUGUUAAAAGGAAGGAUGGUGUAAUGGGUCGCUGGAUUUCAGAUAAGAAGAACAAGGCUUGAAAUCCAGUUUUGCUACUUAUUAACUGUGUGACAAAAGAGAAGUCAUUUCACUCCUCUCUGAAUUUUAUUUAUGAUUUAAAAAUAAAAUCAAAACCUGUACCA